rnacentral:lncRNA from 1 species
CCAGUUCAAAUGAUCUUGUAGAUUGGUCUUCAUAUUCUUUAUACAGAGGAGUGUUAUAUGAAUUAUUGAUCAACUUUUCUAUUCUCCAACCCUCCUAGCAAUAACGUUGGCCAUAUUUCCUAUCUUGAGAAUUCACCUCAUUUGCAAACCUCUCCAAGGCAAGUUUGUUCACUCAUCGCUCAUUCAUUUUCCUUUUUGGUACAUUGUUGUAGGUUUUCAACCCUUAUACAUUGUUGUUGUUCUCAUGGAAGAAGCUGUGAUUAGUUCUUCUCCAGAUUUACAUUGCAGAUUCGUCUUUGGACCUUCAAACUUUGCCCGCAGAAAUUCAUUCUCUUCCAUUAGCGCCUCGAGGUUUUCUGCCAUUUGCUAGAGAGUUUUUGUCGUAGAUAUUUUUCUUCUGUAAGCGAUGGCAUUGGGUGGAAGAAAUGUCGAUGUUUCCUCAAUUUACCGCUUCGAGUUGAUGUCCCUGUUUACUUGGUCAUUGCUGUGCUCUUCUGCUUCAACUUCCAUCAUUUUAGCAUCUUUCGAAUUUACUUCCGUCUGUUUCAUUUUUUCAAAUUUCAAUGGUUUUUCAAGUUAGAAGGAUGAAUUCUAGAUUUUGUUUGCUCAAGUAUUCCUACAGAAGGCGCCAAUUUGUUGACGAUAUAAUUACGAUCACCAAGUUUCUCUCACCUUGCUAGGAUUUUCUUCUCCUAAACUCACUAGUUUUGACACUUAAAUCGGAGCAAAACGUGAAAUAAUUAUUUGGGACGGAGAUAUUUGAAUUUACAUGCCUUCUUUCUCUGAAGAAAGAGUAUUUGAAGAUUUCCUCAGGGCUUUGGAUCAUUCUAAAAAAUGAUAGGCGAUGGCUAUAUAGUGGUAGUUUGAUAGUUGAUAUUGUUAUAUAUUCAUGUGUUAUUCAAUG